UACGAAGGGUGCAAGCGUUACUCGGAAUUACUGGGCGUAAAGCGUGCGUAGGUGGUUCGUUAAGUCUGAUGUGAAAGCCCUGGGCUCAACCUGGGAAUGGCAUUGGAUACUGGCGACCUAGAGUGCGGUAGAGGGGUGUGGAAUUCCCGGUGUAGCAGUGAAAUGCGUAGAUAUCGGGAGGAACAUCUGUGGCGAAGGCGACACCCUGGACCAGCACAGACACUGAGGCACGAAAGCGUGGGGAGCAAACAGG
rnacentral:rRNA from 1 species